AGAACGAACGCUGGCGGCAGGCCUCAAACAUGCAAGUCUAGGGGGUGUAGCAAUACAUCACCGGCGGACGGGUGCGUAACACGUGGGAAUAUACCUUUUGGUUCGGAACAACGCAGGGAAACUUGCGCUAAUACCGAAUGUGCCCUUACGGGGAAAGAUUUAUCGCCAAAGGAUUAGCCCGCGUAGGAUUAGCUAGUUGGUGAGGUAAUGGCUCACCAAGGCUCCGAUCCUUAGCUGUUCUGAGAGGAAGAUCAGCCACACUGGGACUGAGACACGGCCCAGACUCCUACGGGAGGCAGCAGUUGGGAAUCUUGGACAAUGGGGAAACCCUGAUCCAGCCAUGCCGCGUGAGUGAUGAAGGCCUUCGGGUUGUAAACUCGUUUCGACGGGGACGAUAAUGACGGUACCCGUAGAAGAAGCGUCCGGCUAACUUCGCGCCAGCAGCCGC
rnacentral:rRNA from 1 species